UAGGGAAUUUUCGGCAAUGGGGGAAACCCUGACCGAGCAACGCCGCGUGAGUGAAGAAGGCCUUCGGGUCGUAAAGCUCUGUUGUAAGGGAAGAACAGUUGGGAGAGGGAAUGCUCUCAACCUGACGGUACCUUACCAGAAAGUGACGGCUAACUACGUGCCAGCAGCCGCGGUAAUACGUAGGUCACAAGCGUUAUCCGGAAUUAUUGGGCGUAAAGGGAGCGCAGGCGGUUUAUCAAGUUUGUGGUUAAAGUUCGGGGCUUAACCCCGUGAUGCCACAGAAACUGGUAGACUAGAGUGCAGGAGAGGUGAGUGGAAUUCCAUGUGUAGCGGUAAAAUGCGUAGAUAUAUGGAGGAACACCAGUGGCGAAGGCGGCUCACUGGCCUGUUACUGACGCUGAGGCUCGAAAGCGUGGGGAGCAAAUAGG
rnacentral:rRNA from 2 species